GUUGCUGCAACGCGGUGGAAUGAAAGUGGAGAAAUUGGCAAAAUUUUUCUCACCCACACAAAUAAAAAUUAUGAGAGGCGGGAAAAAGAAGUGGCCAGCCACCCCCUCGCCAAUCCCCUUGAUUCCUGGAGUUGAUUUGGCCCGUUGGCCCACCCGAGAGCUGGAAUGGGGACUACCAGCUGGAGCACAGGGAAUCCGUCUAGUGGUGUCGCGAAACCACCGAAAGGGGGAAAAACUUUAAGGAGGAGUCACGAUACUCUGCCGCACUUAGUCUGAUAACAAUCAUGACGGAAAACAAAAGCCAACCAAGCUUUUGAGCCCAACAACAUGGUCAAACAAAACUGAAGUGAUGGGGAGAAACAAAUAAGGCAACAGGAGCAGGGGCACAGGGUGAGGAUAAUUCUACCUUUUCCCUUGGCCGCCAUCUGCCACUUGCAGGAAGCGACGAGCCGCAACGCGUUAUCUUUAGCCAAAAGCUUUGCAUAAAUCAACGUAACUAAAACACAAAACACAAAUUUUUUGUUCUUUUGGUUGAAAAACCGAACUCAAGCGUUAAAUUGAAUGUGUUUUUUGCUUUUGUUGUGUGUGUGUGUGCGUUUGUGAGUUUCGUAGUAUUCGGGACAAAUUAUCCAAAGACGUCCGGAACUCCGCAUACCUCACUUCAGGCAAACCCACACACACACACGAAAAAAAAAAACAAAAUGAACUUUAACAUUGCAUGUUCUGGUAACAAAAUCAAAAUUGUAAAACAAACAAAACACGUCCAUGGCCAUUUAAUUGGUUUACAUGCCAACAAAACCCCUGGGUUUUUGCAUGUGUCGUAUACGCCACCUCACUACCCCACACCUGCCCCAAAAAUAAUGUAUAUAUGGAUGUGCGUGUAUUGUGUGUAUGUGUGUGUGUGUGUGUGUGUGCGUUGCAUAAAUUUCCUGAAAAUGUACAAAUAAAUUACGCGCACGAUUCUAGUCUAUAAUUGGCAGCUAGUUAAGCCAGCAGCAGCAGAUUUUGUAGCGAAAACAAAACGUAUGAAAAACCCUAAAAAGUAUGCUAUUAAUAAUUGUACAAAACUGUUCUUUUACUUGUACAUACAAACACAUUUAUACAUACCUACUCGGGACAUGGAGAAAUCUAUUAAUCAAAUAAACUAUUAAACAAUUUGUUCGUCUGUAAAUUUAACUCUUUCCAGAGUUAAGUGAGAUGAAAAAACAAUAGAGCUCGUUUAUGUACAUAAAUACGUAACUUGCAGUAAAUAAUCUACUCGAAGUGACUUUGCUAUGGAACAAAAUAGCAUUAUCUUUUAGCUAUAUAUUUGAAGUACCAAGUUGUGUAAUCUACCAAAAUGUAUCAAUUAGAAAUAUCAAUUUUUUUUAAAGACAGGACAUAGAUUUUAAUUAGUAGGUAUAUUUUUUGAAAA